rnacentral:misc_RNA from 1 species
GAAAUGUAGCCACUGAAAGAAGCUGUAAGAAGUUAAAAAUAAAUUAAGAGAUGCAACCAAUUUAAUGAGGAUCAGAUUCAUUUUUCAAAGAAUUUAAAACUAUAGGAAAGUGCUUAGUAACAUUAAUACAACUGAUCUCAUUUAAGACAAACACCAUCAGACUAAAUCUGCAAAAACAAUAAGAUCAAGUAAUGACUCUCUUAUUGUGAUGCAGUUCAGUAAAUGGCAUGAAGGUCAUCAUUGUAGUUAUAUCAUAUCUCAUUCAGUAUCAGUGAACAGAGUCUGUUUCUGAAACUAUUGAUUUUGGGUUACUAGCUGAAACUACACAUUGACUAGCAUUACACUGUGCCAGAUGAUAGUGAACUUCUCAAUCUCUUAAAUCCAUAUGGUAAUCCUUUGAGGGGCUACAGUGCAGUGCCAUUUCCAUAUAAGUGAGAGAGCCUCAAAAGCAGAGUGAAGAUUGUCAGUGGACCCAUAAGAAGAUUAUAAGACUUUGAGGUCUACACCUUCAAUCAGCCCAAUAAAUUAUUGAUGUUUGUGGUCAUCUUAAAUAUCCCUUAGAUCCUUUAUAACAAAAUCUUUUCAGUUUUUGGAGUAUCAAAAACUGCAGUCUAAAUUAUAACUAUAGACAAAAUGCAAAUAUUUCCCUUAAAUAUGAGAGAGCAUGUACCUUAAAAGCAUUGGGGAUUGUGGA